GACGAACGCUGGCGGCGUGCUUAACACAUGCAAGUCGAACGGUGAAGGGACCAGCUUGCUGGUUCUUGAUGAGUGGCGAACGGGUGAGUAACACGUGAGUAACCUGCUCCCUUCUUCUGGAUAACCGCAUGAAAGUGUCGCUAAUACGGGAUAUUCUGGGUCUGUCGCAUGGCGGGCCCGGGGAAGCUAUGGCUUCGGUUGGGGAUGGGCUGGCGGCCUAUCAUCUUGGUGGUGGGGUGUUGGCCUACCAAGGCGGGGACGGGUAGCCGGCCUGUGGGGGGGGAGGGUGACACGGGGACCGGGCACAGGCGCAGAGUGCUACGGGCGGCAGCCGUGGGGAAUAUAGCAGAAUGGGAGAAAGCAUGAUGCAGCGACGCCGCGUGCAGGAUGGAGGCGUGCGGGUUGUAGGCCUUUUUGGUGAGUGACGCAGGCCUGUGCGAUGUAGGUGGGUUGACGGUAGCUGGAAAAGAAGCGCCGGCUAACUACGUG
rnacentral:rRNA from 1 species